UGUCGGCCACAAAAUGUUCCUACCCUCCAAUACUCACAAGGACAUUAACGAAGGAGUCAGCAUCAUCUAAAAACACGAACGAAAGGCCUACUCUAUUUCUGUUUCGAAUUUGCGUUCCUACAAUUCCUUCAAGCUUCACACAUACAAUCUUUAUUUUGCAUUAUCUAUCGUGUGAUGGAUUGUGACGACAGUUCAAUUUACGGUUAUCAUGCGAGAAUAGUCAACGGUUAAUAAGAGAAUUGGGAACAAAGGAACGCAUCAUUUGGCACGUCCUUACUGUACACCACAUCGGUAAAUAAAUGUAUACACUUAUUCGGAGUUCUGAAUAUAUACAGAACGUCCCAAAAAGAUGCACGCACAUUGCUGACGUAUGUAAUGGUUGUGUGUACACAUCAUCUCGGGACACCUGCAUUUAUGGGCGUCGUUUGGUGCUUAGAAACAAGUUAACAAACAAACAACUGUAGCAGUAGCAAGAAUCUAGAAUCUAGGGUCAGGAGUGAUUACGUCAUCAGGGACGCGGAUAUCACGAACACGUCACGAAGCAGCAUCAUAUCCCGUCACUACAACGUACGACGAAAUAAUAUAAAGAUAAUUAACUCGUUCAAAAAUGUGGCAGAGUUUAUAUAUUUGUGUACAGUAAGACAUCAAAAUUACGUUCACGAAGAAGCUACAGGUUCCGUUUUCGGCAGGUUUUACUGAAUCCCCGUCCCACAGUUGACACGAUGGUGCUCAGGACUUGUAUAAUGAUAGAGCAAAUAGCCAACAGCACCUUCCACACACACCUGCCAGGAUGCUGAAUAUUCAUGUCUUCUGUCACUGCCUUUGCAUCCACAUCUGAUCGCUCGUCCGGAAUUUUUCCUGUAAAGAUGCCAUCUGCUCCGUCGCUUCUAGCGAUGCUGUGCUUUCGAACUCUAGUAACUUGGCGGAUAUGUUAACACGUCAACAGCUACGAUCGCCUGAAGAUAAUCAAGUACGCACAUGUAAUAAUUCGGCUUCAGAUAUCUGCCGCUGUUGUUUUAACCUGGCGCUUUACUGAUAAGGAUGACCCGCAUUCCUGGCCAUCGAGGUUGAAGACUGAUUAGUCGAAAGGCUUUCGACAAACGUUUGUCGUUUUCCAACGAAAGCAAUUGAUUAGAUUGUGCAAAUUCACCGUAACGUUUCGAAAGAUGGUUCAGCUGAUUAGGUUAUACAGUUUCACCUCCAGCCAGGCGAAUAUUUUCAAUGCUUGUUGAAUGCAUCGUCACAGUUUCAGUGUCGCCACACACUGUGGACGCAUGGAGCCUCACCAUUAGGGUUGAAAUGAUGAACCUAUCAACGUCUCAGCCAGGUCCGUGGGAGCAACUCCUUAUUUUUCCACUUGCGAGAUAUGAUUCCGUUUACUCUCCCCGUCCCUACAGAUAACAAUUAAAAUCUUUUCACGACACACCCAAGAUCCUGUCUGACAAACGACCUUGCAGGACAUGUGGGGUGUGGGACAUAUCUCCGGAACUACCUCACACGGCGAGUUACAACGCUUGGUCUUCGCACCCUUGUGGUACCUACCAAGACA